rnacentral:rRNA from 1 species
UACAGAGGUCUCAAGCGUUGUUCGGAUUCAUUGGGCGUAAAGGGUGCGUAGGUGGCGCCGUAAGUCAGGUGUGAAAUCUCGGGGCUCAACCCCGAAACUGCACUUGAUACUGCGGUGCUCGAGUACUGGAGAGGAGAUUGGAAUUUACGGUGUAGCAGUGAAAUGCGUAGACAUCGUAAGGAAGACCAGUGGCGAAGGCGAAUCUCUGGACAGUUACUGACACUGAGGCACGAAGGCCAGGGGAGCAAACGGG